UACGUAGGGUGCAAGCGUUGUCCGGAUUUAUUGGGUUUAAAGGGUGCGUAGGCGGCCCGAUAAGUCAGUGGUGAAAGCCUCCAGCUCAACUGGAGAACUGCCAUUGAUACUGUCGGGCUUGAGUACAGACGAGGUUGGCGGAAUUGAUUGUGUAGCGGUGAAAUGCAUAGAUACAAUCAAGAACUCCGAUUGCGUAGGCAGCUAACUAGGCUGUAACUGACGCUGAGGCACGAAAGCGUGGGGAGCGAACAGG
rnacentral:rRNA from 1 species